rnacentral:lncRNA from 1 species
UUAAAGUGUUAAAUGGCUUGAUAAUUAUGUGGCUUUUUACAGAUGUUGAUAUAUACAUUUAUCAUAUGUUUAGUAAUAAAUAAGUGUUGUUUGAUAUACCUUUAUCGGCAACUUUGAUGUGCACCUUUUAUCGCCUACCCUUUAUCACACCCCUACUUUUUUUUUUUUUUUUUACAUAAAGUCAGUUUUGGUUUUUAGGCAGUUAAGCUGCCUUAUGCGAGCGCCCUGGAUUUGUGUGCUACCCAAUAAAUGCUGAAAUACGUGCCAUUGUUAUCAUCUAGCUGGCUACUAUAUUAUUUAUAACUUAUUGGACAGUUUUUUCAUACUUUUCAUUCUGGAUUACAAAAAAUAUGACCAGAAAAACCUUAAAUGAUCGUCGAUUUUCCCAAAAGUUUUGAAGUUGCACAUAGGAAGUAGAGCACAUUAGGAAUCCUUAUGUAGUUUAUUAUCCCCUGAGCUUUUGGCUAAGAUGUCAAAGAACAAAUGUAUGAAAUAUUUAAUCGCCGAAAAUCUCUAAAGACAAGUAGUUAAGAUUUCCCAAAUUACAAAAGUCGUAGGAAUAUUGUUUGUCGUCAAUACGUAGUCAACUACGUAUAUAUACGUCAGUAGUCUAUUAAUAUAAGUUCAACUGAUCACGCUGUUGGCGGCAAUUUUGAAUUAGAAGACGAAAUUUUCGUAUCUUUUCAAUUUGGACGCAGGGGUUCAAAUUAGCGGUGGUCCGAGGUCUGCGACCUUCCACUUUUGCAGUCGGACUUUCUACUUGGUUACUAGCUACGCCCGACGGACCUUGAAAGAAAAUAAAAAAAUAACUUUGCAAACAUUUUUACCGAAAGUUUCCUAAUAAACGAUCUCAAACUUAUUUUCAUCAUUACCAUUCAUGACAGCGAUGUUCAAUUUGUUCAACCGCUAGCUUUAUACAGAAAAUCGCCGAUAAAUAAUGUGUAAAUCCGAGUAAAAUCGUAUCUCACUAUCUGUCAAAAACAACAUUGAAAACAAAAUGGCUGCCGCGAGAUUACAAUAUCGGAUCCGAUUCCGGAAGCGGAUAAGGGUAAUCCCGGGUUUUGGCUAUCAACUAAAAAAAAUCCAGACAGGUGACAAAAUACAUCUAUGCCUGGUAAAUAAAUAUAAACACUAGAAUUUAAAACCAAAAGAUAUAUGUAAAAGAAAGAAAAAGCAGAAAAUAUUUUGUACACCAAUUUUAAUGUCAAAAUCCAAUACAAUGUGACAGCUGGGAACAGUUUAUCUAACAAUAUAUGUUCCUGGUAACAGUAUAAUUUUUUUUUUAUCAGUGAUAAAUGUUGGUAAUGAAUGUUAAAUGCUUUUCAAGUUAAACAUAUUACUGCAAUUUCAAGGGGUAUUUUUUUCUUCUCAAUUUUGAUAGGUCAGUUAAAAUAGCUGGAAGUUUCUUAUAUAUAAAAAAAAAAAAAAAAAAAGAUGUGGUAUGAUUGCCAAUGAGACAACUAUCCACAAGAGACCAAAAUGACAAAACUUGGUAAUGGUCAAGAUCCCCACCCCUAAACCAUAUAUAUUCAUGUAUGGGACAAUAUAACAAAUCAUAUGAAAUAUAGGUGGAGUUCGUUGGGCCACUCUGACUACCCCUUUCUGUUUGAGAAUUUAUAACGGUCGAGAUCCACAAUCUUAAACAAUAUAUAUUUAUGUAUGGGACAAUAUUACAAAUCAAAUGAAUUAUAAGGGGGUCCCUAUGGUCACUGUACACCCUCCUGUUUGAGAACUUGGAAAAAUUCGAGAUCAUCACCCCUUAACCAUAUAAAUGAUAUAUACUCAUGUAUAAGACUAUAUAACAAAUCAAAUGAAAUAUAGGGGAAGUCCCUGUGGUCACCCUACCCCUCAUGUUUAAGAACUUUGAAACAGUUGGGAUCCCCAACUCUAAAUUAAAUGAAAUAUAGGGGGAGUCCCUGCAGUCACCUGAUUGAGAAAUUGGAAACAGUCGAGAUCCCCACCUUUAAAUUAAACCAUAUAUAUUCAUGUAUGAGAACUAAUCAAAUGAAAUAUAGGGAGAGUCCUUAGGGUCACCCUACCCACACCUUGUUUGAUAACUUAGAAACAGAUGAGAUCCCCACCCCUCAACCAUACAUAUUCAUGUAUUGGACAAUAUAACAAAUCAAAUGAAAUAUAGGGGAAGUCACUGGGGUCCCCCACCCCCUCCUGUUUGAAAACUUGAUAACGGUCGAGAUCCCCACCCAUAAACCAUAUAUAUUCAUGUAUGGGACAAUAUAAAAAAUCAAAUGAAAAAUAGGGGUAGUCCCUAGGGUCACCCCACACCCUCUUGUGUGUGUUUUGAGAACUUGUAAAAGAUUGAGAUGCCAACACCUAAACCAUAUUCAUUCCUGCUUGUCAUUUCAAAAAAGAUUGAAUGACAUACAAGGUCAAUCUCAUAGGCGACACAUAUGCAUAUCACUUUGCUAGACCCUAACACCUGUCAUUUUAUUCCAAACUGAGACAUCAUGGACUUGGGGUGAAGGUGGGAGUCAUUUACAUUUACUAUGGACAGGUCAGUCAGACCUCACCAUUGAUCCCUGUAGUAUAGUAAACAUUUGUCUGAUUUGUGUCUCAUAACUUUUGUACUGUACAACACAAACUCAGUUUUCUUUCCAGGGAAGCAAGUCCAUUCAUACUUUUACAAGCUCGUCGUACUAAAGUCAACUUGAACUACUAACAGUCAACUAAUACGAACAAUUACGAUCAACUAGAAGAACUGCAAUCAUUGCAAAUUUGUAC